CCUUCUCUCAUCUUCUUCGUCUUCCUCAAAAUCGCCGAUUCACGGCCAUCUUCUUCUCCUACCCCUAACAGCGCCGGAUUUCUCAACUGUCGAUCGAGUGACAAUCGUGCCUGCCUGCUUGACAAAGCCUUUUCGGUCUACCAAUAAAGGAAAAACGAUUGCUGGUGACACGAAAGCUGUGCUCAACGCUCUUUUUCCUAUUCCACUGCACGUCGUGGUCUUUCCCUUGCUGGUUGGAUGACUACUAUGGACGAAGAGCACAACUACUUCCAGUCUCUGGUCGAUAAGUACCCAAGGAAGAGUUGCAGUGGGUAAAUCUUAAUGGCUGGCAGAAAAUUGGUUCGGGAUAUAUUACUCUCAAGACAAAGUAUUUUCUAUCAGUUUACUUCCCAUGGGGUAUUUGCUCUUCCUAUGCUUUAUCCUUAUCGCAUCUUUCUCCGCUGUAGUCUUCAUAGGAUGGAUUUCUGUGGUGUAAAUUUAUUCAUCUAGUUUGUUUGAUUUAUGGUUGCAUUUAGGGAGAAGGUAAA